CCAGGUCCGGAGCGGGUGGCGAGGGGUUGCUGACACACGUGGGGCGACGGCUCGAGAGGCAGGGAAGCGGCCCAGGGCCCCGCCCGCCCGCAUGACUCCCGAGCUGGCCGCGAGGGUGGGGAGAGACCAACAGCCCUCACCGAGGGAGGCCGCGGCCGCCAGGGGGAGGUGGCUGCGUGGGGGCAGUAACGGGAGAGGGGGCCCGAGGUUGUGUAACUAUCCAGAAACACACGAUAGAGUCCUCUUUCAGCAAGUAUUCUUGGUUAAGUCAUGAAAAUGGAGCUUGUUUUCCCCCUUUGUAUGAUUUUGCACGGCAGUUUUUAACUUCUAAUAUGCCUUUGGAAUUAUAAGCAUCCUUUUCCUGAAGACUGGGUUUUUCAAAGUAUGUGCAUAUUAACAUACUGAUCUUGCCAACCCAACUGGGAGAUUACUAAAAUAUGGAGCAAAACUUUUCUAAUACUGAAGAACAAAGUAUAGUAAUUCACAAAGUUAGGUAUGUUUUAAAAGGUAUAGUUUCCUUAUGGUUUUAAAACAUAUGAGAAGUUGGGAAUUUAAGUAUGUAAGUUAUUUAAAAAAUCAUAAAUGCC
rnacentral:lncRNA from 1 species